rnacentral:rRNA from 1 species
CCCUUAGAUGUCCUGGGCCGCACGCGCGCUACACUGAUGCAUUCAACGAGUUUACCUUGGCCGAGAGGCCUGGGCAACCUUUUAAACGUGCAUCGUGAUAGGGAUAGAUUAUUGAAAUUAUUAAUCUUGAACGAGGAAUUCCUAGUAAACGCAGAUCAUCAAUCUGCAUUGAUUACGUCCCUGCCCUUUGUACACACCGCCCGUCGCACCUACCGAUUGGAUGGUCCGGUGAAGCCUCGGGAUUGUGGUUCUUGCCGCUUUAUUGUGGCGUGACCGCGAGAACUUGUCUAAACCUUAUCAUCUAGAGGAAGGUGAAGUCGUAACA